UACGGAGGGUGCGAGCGUUGUCCGGAAUCACUGGGCGUAAAGGGCGCGUAGGCGGCCGAGCAAGGUCGCGGUGAAAGCCCGGGGCUCAACCCCGGGUCGGCCGUGGCAACUACUCGGCUCGAGCACUGUAGGGGCGGGUGGAAUUCCGGGUGUAGCGGUGGAAUGCGUAGAGAUCCGGAAGAACCCCAGAGGCGAAGGCGGCGUCCUGGCCCAUUUCUGACGUUCAGACAUGACAGCAUGGGGAGCGAACGGG
rnacentral:rRNA from 1 species